rnacentral:misc_RNA from 1 species
GAUGAAGAACGUAGCGAAAUGCGAUAAGUAAUGCGAAUUGCAGAAUCCGUGAGUCAUCGAAUCUUUGAACGCACAUUGCGCCCCUUGGUAUUCCGAGGGGCAUGCCUGUUCGAGCGUCAUUAUAACCCCUCAAGCUCAGCUUGGUGUUGGGGCCUGCCGCACGGGCAGCCCUUAAAAUCAGUGGCGGUGCCAUCUGGCUCUAAGCGUAGUAAUUCUUCUCGCUAUAGAGUCCCGGUGGAUGCUUGCCAGUAACCCCCAAUUUUCUAUGGUUGACCUCGGAUCAGGUAGGGAUACCCGCUGAACUUAAGCAUAUCAAUAAGCGGAGGA